CACUGAGAAAGUAACUUUUUACAGUGUGUUCUAACUCAAUGACCAUAGAGAGCAUGUACACACGCUAAAUACUGUUAUUGAAAACAAAGUACCCGGUACUUGAUACAUACUAAUCAAUAGCAGCUUGGCAGCUGUUUUCAACGGAUUACUGUAUACAAACACACAUCUGGCUUUAAAGUUUACCCUCCAAAGGCAAAGGUGCAGCGUAAAGGAACAUGACUAAACUUUGCCAACCUUUUGGGAACAUUUAACAAAAAGAGCAUACCACUAAUUUGUGUAGCUGUAAUGUAGUGAAAGUUUCUUGUAUUUGGAGAGAGAUGGGGAGGGUACAAAUUACUCCCCCUCGACUAUCAAUGAGAGCAGGAGCUGUAAGUGAGCUAAAUGUAAGGCAGCUCCCAUGAAGAGUGAAACUCCCGCUUAGGAAGACCUGUGUGUGUGUGUGUGUGUGCACGCGUGUAUGGGCAUAUCAGACACACACACCCUUCACAGUAGCAGAGGACAGCUCAUCUGAAAGAGACAACGAGUAGCGGCCGGUUUCCCACCGGAACUUUUUAUGAUGAUUUCCGAACAACAAUCACCCUGCACCUAAGCGAUCCCGCGCCACGCUUUGCCGCAACUGCACAACCCUUAGCGGGCAGUCCGCUCCCGGUGUCCCCGUUUGCACUGCAGCUCCACGCACCGACUGCAAAGGCAGCGCGACCCCAGCAAACUCUCCUACAUCUCGUCCACCGACUCCCCCACGCUUAGCUGCCCUUAGCCUCGCGCAACUCACAAACGCGUCCUCCCAUGCCCAGAAGUUAAAGCCCCUUAGAAGCCGCCGGGGAAAUAGGCGGGCAGACAGACUGGUGCGCCCGAGACAGGAUCGCUCACAGCUGCCCGGUUAAGGGGAGGCGGCGAGGGACCCAGAGUGGCUCUCGGGACUGGGUGGGGUGAGCCCGCAGGCGAAGGAGGGAGAGGAGAGGAGAGAAAGAGACCGCCGUGUACUUGCCCAGGGAAUUUAAGCAACAACAAAAAAGCCACAGAUGAAUAGCAGCCUCUUUGGACAUUGACUGCUCCAGGCGACUCCAAGUGCUGGGAAAUCUGAGGAGGCAACAAAUCUGGGAGGCACCUGCUGCUUGUUGCCGUCUUGAGUGGCUGCUGGGCUCCACAGAUUGCAGUUCCCAUGUACAGAGCUGGAGGGAACGUGCCAGUGGGUGGUGUAGUGAGGUGUUUGUGGUACAUAGGAAAGAGUUUGUUUGUACUAUGAAGGAGGAUACAGCACACACAAGUGAAACUCUUCUGUGGGUCCUUGUAGAUGCAGAAGUAUCAAGCAUGGGGACCUAUAAUAAACUUUUCUACAACUUUUUACCUGUAAA